rnacentral:rRNA from 1 species
GACUGUGCAAAGGUAGCAUAAUUAAUUGCCUUAUAAUUGAAGGCUUGUCUGAAUGGCUUGACGUGGUAGUUACAAAUAUUUGAUUUUUUGGUGAAAUUUAUGUGGAGGGCACAGAAUCCUCCUUUUUUAAUUAGACGGAAAGACCCCAGAAUCUUUCAUUUUUGUCUGGGGCGGAUGGUAAUAUUUCAUUUCUAUUUUGACCCCUCCGGGUUUAGUGAGUUAAGUUACUCUGGGGAUAACAGUGUAAUAGUUUAUUAGA